CUGCGUCCAGAUGUGGAUAAAGAGAAACUGGAGGAGCAGCUGCAGUCUGGAUGUUCAACAGAUCUCAGUAUCAAGAGAAGAUCAGAAGAUCAGACACAACCUCUGCUGCAGAAGACUGAGAAAACAGUGGAGGAGAAUGGAGGAAAAUGUAUGAGGAAGCAGAUGAAGAAAAGAAAAAGCCUCGACACUGUUGAGACCAACUUUUCAGGAGAGUCUCCAUCAGAAGAGCAGGAUAAUCUUCAUCAGGCUCCUGAGAGCAAAGAUCAGAACAGAUCCGGUUCUGCUGGGAGAAAAUGGGAUCACUUCAGAAAUGAGGUUAAUCCCUCCUUCAGCUCAAACUCUACAGUGAUGAAGGAAUUAUAAUGUAAGCAAAGAACCAAUGAAACGCAUAAAAACUGAAAACUGCUGAACUGAAGCACUGGGGUCUGCUCUUCAUACUGCGCUUAAAUGAUCUAAGAUGAUUUGGCAGAUCCUGGAUCUGUUCAUCCUGAUAACUGAUCUCUGGCUAAUUUGGUUCUUCAAACAAGUUCAUGAAUCAGAUUAAAAUGUCAGGAUGAGCUGAUCUGAGAUCUGUGUGUUGUGAAGGACUGAGCUAUCCAUCCUCUAAGUCAUGAUCAGCAAUGCAACGAUUGGCUGACAGCACAGCAGCGUGAUGACAUCAUCUGAUUAAUAUUCAAUUACUCAUGUGAGCAAAAUUAGAUCAAAUUAGCAGUAAACGGUUUGUUAAAUAUGACACGCAAUAACUAAACAUUUGUUGUGAGCCGCAGGCGCUACAUAUAUAUGAGUCAGGAGUAUUUAGCAACUUAUUUAGUUUUACAGUUGGACUGGAUUUGCUUUAUUAUAGUAGCCUAGGCCGGUUCUAGUUUCUGUAAACUAUUCUGUAGUUUCUAGUGUAAGCUGAGAAAAUAUGAUGCUCUAUUCCUUCUAUACUAAUGAAGGACUACUGAGACAUUUCAAGCACAGGAUGGGUCCUCCUGGCAUGGCAGAGUUGAUCACAGCUCCAGUACACAUCUCUGCCAUCUGCCUACAGUAACCAUGUGCCUUUCACCAUACACAAUUCAUCUGCUCGUGAUCUUCCUUCAGAUAACUCAUAUUUGGUGUCAUUUGACAGUUUAUGACUUCACUAAUGUUUGACAAUGCUUUACUCAGGGAAUAAUAAGGAAUGAUAACUGUUGAUCUGGGAGAAUGGCUUUUACUCUGCGUCUCCCGCACACACUGGUGUGUAGUCUUUAUUCCUCAGCUGUGCGUUUGUUACAGCUAAGUUUCUUUAUACAGUAUUUUAUUUUCUUUCCUUCUACUGUCUGUUUAUUUAAGUAUAUAACUUAAUAAACAUCUUUGCGUGUUUUUUUCUUUAUUUUUCUCUGCCGUUCUCUUUAUCAAUGAUGAUAACAACUGUAAUGGAGUCCGAUUAAUAAUUGAACCAAUAAUCAAGAACAGAAAGCAGUUGAAGGAUGGCGUGUUUAAAUCAGAGUAGCAGCGUAAGCUUCAAGCCUUACAUCAGUGUAAGGUUUAACUGGAUGUUUAAAUUAAUUUUGCAUCAUUAAAGCAUUUUGAUAUUGGUGAUCUGCAACUCAAAUCACCGUCAUAUCAGCUGUCAAAACCUGUGUAUGACAGCAUAAAUGAUGACUCCUUUAGAGAAAACAGUCGAUAUUGUUGUUCAUGUCUAUUAUCAUACACAAAUCAUAAAAAAGCUGCUUCCCUAAAAUAGUACAUGUCUGUAUCUAUGAAGUCCAUAUUAAUAAAUGUUCUGUAAGAAGAAGCACCCCCAUGACAAUCUUUGUACUUUAUUUCAGAGUGCAGAUUGCAUACGUUUUAUUUCUAUAUAUUUUAAACUUCUAUGAAAUAUAUAUAUGUACCAUUUUUUAUUAGUUUUACUUUAAAACUAAAUGCAUAAUUUUUUACAACACUUUUCUAUUUUCCCAAGUGUAUAUUACUACUGCUGUAAGAAAAGAUCAGAAUUCAGUACUAAUCCUAUGAAAUAAGCUUCUGCUCCAAGCAGGUUUGAGCUACCAGAACUGUUGCGAUGACAACAACUUCCAGAUCAGUUUUGAAGAAUGAAAUGAUCAAAUCAUCAAUAACCAAAUCCAGCUAAUAGAGUAAUCCACAUAUGAAGAACAGACCCCUGCUGUGUUAUCUGAGCAGUGAGAAUCUCAAUCUCUGUUAUAAAGCUGACCAGUGCAGGAACCCUUGUUAAAGCACAGUUUCUUGCUGAAGCUAUUCACUGACUGUUUUUCUGUGCAUGUUUGUUAAUCAGGAUCCUGUACUGAUUUCUAAUGGACUUUUAUCUUUCAUGUUCACUGUAUAUUUUAAAUAAGUGUAUUGUAUUUGGUUAUGUUUGAGCUCACUCUGCAUUAGGAGAUGAAUCUGUGUCCUUUAUCACAUUUGCUUUAAUCUUCCGUUUUUACUGUAUGUAUUUAGUUGUAUUUGUUGUAACUUUUGUCAGUCUAUAACAAUAAAUAUUUCAUAUCAACAA